CUCUAUUUCCCACCUCCUGUCUUUCGACACACUCUCUCUGUGACCUUGAACCUGAUCAUUCCUUGCCCGGCAACCUGUGACCCCCUUUGCCUUGUCUUUCCCCUCCCCCCGUCACCUCUCCUCUCCUUAGGUUACAGAUGAAUCCCUUGGUUGCAUCCACCUUCAGCCCCCUGCCCUUUCCCUCCACCUAUUUGCCGGAUAAAUCCUGGUCCCAGUGGAGUCCAGCGUUCUGCCUUUAGUGAUCCGGCCCCCAAGCAUGGAACUGCUCUCCAUGGAUGGUCUCUUCCUUCCAUGGGGCUGAGAACCAGCUUUCCAGGGACACUGUCCCCCAAAAGACGCCUGUCUCUAGCCAGCCCCAUCCACCUGCAUUCCAGGCCUCCCCAGCAUCUCCGGUGGACAGCUCGUGGCUCCUGACAUUUAACCGGUCCCAACAGUGUGUCCUCCACCUGCUAACCUCUAACCUGCCCUCCCACAGCAAAUGGAAACACCUUGCUUUCAUUUUCUCAGGUCAAAAAUGCUUGGAAGUGUCCUUGA